UCUGUGAACCAAAUUAAUUCAUCAUUCUCAAUGGGAGUUUCCUAUAAAUCUUCCUUAGGGGAGAGUAAAAUAUUAGGUAGUAGAAUGUAGUCACGUUCCUCUUCCUUUUGUUGUCUACCUAGAAUGGGGAGCAGGGUAGCAGGGUUAAGAGUGUCACAGAGUUUCAAAGUGAUGUUGAAGGCAGAAAGCAGGAGUACUUCUUAAGAGGCAAGGUGGCUUACAGAAUAGUGUUGACUGUGGUGAGAGCUUAGAAGAGAUUUCACAGAGUGGGGGACAUAGAUGGUCAGAGGGGACCCUAGGACAAAUUCUUUGAUGUUUUUGCAUAAUGUGGCUGCAGCUGAUAUAGCCCUCAUACAGGGAGGGUGCCCCCUUGCAACUGGAUCUAACUAUUGACUGAAAUAACCAAUUGGUCUGUGACUGUCACCAUGUUUUUGAGUUAAUACUCCUAGAGUUUUUCCUUUUAUUUCAUGUACAAAGAGAGAAAAAGGAAGACUGCAAUUGGGGUGACCUAGAGCAAGUGCUCGGGUCAGAGCCUGUUUUAGAUCUUCUCUGUGUUGUUUUUCCCCCUUUUUGGGGAAAAGAAAAGUAUUACAGGUCAAAUCUCUUUACAAAUAGCUCAACUUGACUGUCUAAAUAUAUGGUAUGGAGUAGAGUUUUAUUUCACGGAUUACUGCUUGAACUAGGCAAGCUGCGCUGUGGAGAACUUUUGGUUAAACAGAGAUUUUUAUUGCAAAGGUAUUUGUUGUAGAGGAAUUUACCCGGUAAACAGCUCUCUUCCAGCUAAUGUUUUUACCAGGCUGAUUCAGACUGGGGAGCAGGAGUGGGAAAACACUGUGGACACAUUCUGCUGGCUAGCAGUCAAGGCAAAGGAAAGAAAACACAGGCAAAGGUCUGUGUGAAUAUGGAUCUGAGUCAUGAAAGGAGAGGAAGAAACUAGUAUGUGUCAUUCUGAAAAAGCUCUUCUUAGGGUUAUUUCUUUGGGCUGUAACCACUGCCUCUCUCCAUAGAGAGUCACAGGGCCUCGCCUGGCUUUUCCUGCUGCAUUUUCAGACUUAAAAGGAAGCCACCUUCAGGCAAGUUCCUCUGCCUUUCAAGAAAGAUAAUUAAACAAAAUGGAGAGCCCUGCUCUCUAAAGAACUUGGGUCAGGUUUUGAAUGAAUGCGGUACAGUGACCCAGCACUAGGGGCUGGGAAUGUCUACAAUCGCUACUGAGGCUUGCUUCUCUGGCGUCCCCUUGGGUGUGAGAGUGGAACUGUAUACUUGAAAGUUGCCUAAAUCCCCAUUGCUGCAGUCCCCAGAACUCCACUCAGUGUCUCUUUUUCUAGGCUUUUCUCAGCCUGGAGUUUCCUGACUAACUUCUGGCCAUUCCCAAGGUUUUUCUCUGACCACCCCCUACAAACUCUUCUCAAUCUACUAAUUUUUCAAAACAAAUUAUUUUAUCUUUCUAUUUCUGCAAACUGUCGAUCAGUAAUACAUAAGCAUUUCUGAAAUUCAUGAGACUUUUUCACAGUCCAGUUUUAAAACAUUUUUAACAUCCAGAAAGUUCCUUGUGAGAAUUUGCAGUCAAUCUUGACUUUUACCUUCAGUUUCAGACAGCUACUAAUCUGUUUUUUGUCUCUAAAAAUUUUCCUUUCCUGGUCAUUUCAUAUAAGUGAAAUCAUAUAUAGUUUUUUGUGACUGGUUUCUUUCAUGUAACAUAUGUUUUCAAAGUUCACCCAUGUAGGAUGUAUCAGUACUUCAUUCCUUUUUAUGGCUGAAUAAUAGUCCAUCAUAUAUAGAUAAACUACAUUACAUUUAUUCAUUCAUCAGUUGAUGCACACUUGGGUUGUCUCCAGUUUUGGGCUAUUAUAAAUGAUGUUACUAUGAACAUUUGUGU
ensembl:lncRNA